rnacentral:rRNA from 1 species
AAUGAACGCUGCUGGCGAGCCUUAAGCCUCGAAGUCGUGCGGCAAGGGUAGCAAUACCCCCAGAGCGGCGGACUGCCGAGUAACGCGUGGGUGAUCCCCCCCUGGUCUGGGGAUAGCCCCCAGAAAUCGUGGGUAAUACCGAAUACGGUGGCGAUGCUUGGGUCUUUACAUGAAUGGCGAUCAGACGCCGCCCGAGGAUGAUCCAGCGUCCCAUUAGCGAGUUGGUGAGGUAACGGCUCACCAAGGCGAUGAUGGGUAGGCGGCCUGAGAGGGUGUACGCCCACACUGGGACUGAGAUACGGCCCAGACUCCUACGGGAGGCAGCAGCUAAGAAUAUUCCGCAAUGGACGAAAGUCUGACGGAGCGACGCCGCGUGGAUGACGAAGGCCGAAAGGUUGUAAAAUCCUUUUGUUGGGGAAGAAUAAGGCUGGGAGGGAAUGCCCGGCUGAUGACAUGAACCGACGAAUAAGUCCCGGCUAACUACGUGCCAGCCGCCGCCGUAA